AACGAACGCUGGCGGCAGGCUUAACACAUGCAAGUCGAACGCACCUUUCGGGGUGAGUGGCAGACGGGUGAGUAACGCGUGGGAAUCUACCCUUCUCUACGGGAUAGCUCCGGGAAACUGGAAUUAAUACCGUAUACGUCCUGAGGGAGAAAGAUUUAUCGGGGAAGGAUGAGCCCGCGUUGGAUUAGCUCGUUGGUGGGGUAAAGGCCUACCAAGGCGACGAUCCAUAGCUGGUCUAAGAGGAUGAUCAGCCACAUUGGGACUGAGACACGGCCCAAACUCCUACGGGAGGCAGCAGUGGGGAAUAUUGGACAAUGGGCGCAAGCCUGAUCCAGCCAUGCCGCGUGAGUGAUGAAGGCCCUAGGGUUGUAAAGCUCUUUCAGUGGGGACGAUAAUGACGGUACCCACAGAAGAAGCCCCGGCUAACUUCGUG
rnacentral:rRNA from 1 species